rnacentral:rRNA from 1 species
GAAUUCGCCCUUAGAGUUUGAUCCUGGCUCAGGAUGAACGCUGGCGGCGUGCUUAACACAUGCAAGUCGAACGGAGCUUAAUUGGAAAGCUUGCUUUUCGUUUAAGCUUAGUGGCGGACGGGUGAGUAACGCGUGAGCAACCUGCCCCGAAGUGGGGAAUAACACCGAGAAAUCGGUGCUAAUACCGCAUAAUGUCGGAGGACCGCAUGAUCCACCGACCAAAGGAUUUAUUCGCUUCGGGAUGGGCUCGCGUCCGAUUAGGCAGUUGGCGGGGUAACGGCCCACCAAACCAACGAUCGGUAGCCGAACUGAGAGGUUGAUCGGCCACAUUGGGACUGAGACACGGCCCAGACUCCUACGGGAGGCAGCAGUGGGGAAUAUUGGGCAAUGGGCGAAAGCCUGACCCAGCAACGCCGCGUGAAGGAUGAAGGUCUUCGGAUUGUAAACUUCUUUGAUUGGGGAAGAAAAAAAUGACCUACCCAAAGAACAAGUCACGGCUAACUACGUGCCAGCAGCCGCGGUAAUACGUAGGUGACAAGCGUUAUCCGGAUUUACUGGGUGUAAAGGGCGUGUAGGCGGCUUUGCAAGUCAGAAGUGAAAUUCCCGGGCUUAACCUGGGCGCUGCUUCUGAAACUGUAAAGCUUGAGUACUGGAGGGGAAAGCGGAAUUCCUAGUGUAGCGGUAAAAUGCACAGAUAUCACGAAGAACCCCGAUUGCGAAGGCGGCUUUCUGGACAGUAACUGACGCUAAAGCUCGAAAGUGCGGGUAUCGAACAGGAUUAGAUACCCUGGUAGUCCGCACGGUAAACGAUGGAUGCCCGCUGUCUGCGAUACACUGUAGGCGGCCAAGAGAAAUCGUUAAGCAUCCCACCUGGGGAGUACGCCGGCAACGGUGAAACUCAAAGGAAUUGACGGGGGCCCGCACAAGCGGAGGAACAUGUGGUUUAAUUCGAUGAUACGCGAGGAACCUUACCCGGGCUUGAACUGCAGGCGUACGAUACAGAGAUGUUGAGGCCCUUCGGGGCGCCUGUGGAGGUGCUGCAUGGUUGUCGUCAGCUCGUGCCGUGAGGUGUCGGCUUAAGUGCCAUAACGAGCGCAACCCCUUUCUCCAGUUGCCAUCAGGUAAUGCUGGGCACUCUGGAGACACUGCCACCGUAAGGUGUGAGGAAGGUGGGGAUGACGUCAAAUCAGCACGGCCCUUACGUCCGGGGCUACACACGUGUUACAAUGGGUGGUACAGAGAGUUGGUCGUUUGCAAAUGCGAUCUAAUCAUGAAAGCCAUCCUCAGUUCGGAUUGGGGUCUGCAACCCGACCCCAUGAAGCUGGAUUCGCUAGUAAUCGCGCAUCAGCCAUGGCGCGGUGAAUACGUUCCCGGGCCUUGCACACACCGCCCGUCA